UACUAGAGUAGCACUCGCAUAUCAAUAAGCGGAGGAAAAGAAACUAACUAGGAUUCCCUUAGUAACGGCGAGUGAAGCGGGAAGAGCUCAAAUUUGAAAUCUUCAAGGUUCUACCUUGACGAAUUGUAGUUUAUAGAAGUGUUUUCUGUUAGUGGAGUGGUAAAAGUUCUUUGGAAUAGGACAUCAUAGAGGGUGAGAAUCCCGUAUUUGAUCAUUAUUUCUAGCUGUGUGAUACACUUUCAAAGAGUCGGAUUGUUUGGGAAUGCAGUCCAAAAUGGGUGGUAAAUUUCAUCUAAAGCUAAAUAUUGGCGAGAGACCGAUAGUGAACAAGUACCGUGAGGGAAAGAUGAAAAGAACUUUGAAAAGAGAGUUAAACAGUACGUGAAAUUGUCAAAAGGGAAGCGUUUGACACCAGUGUUGUUUUCUCGAAAAUCAAUUAAAAAUGGCCGGAUUUUGUGUUGUAUUGACCUUAAAAGCUUUCUUCACUCUUUUCUUGUCUUUUUUAGUGCACUUUUCGUUUAACAAGUCAACAUCAGUUUCUUUUGUUGUAAAAGGGUCAUUGGAAGGUGGCUUUCUUUUCGGAGAAAGUGUUUAUAGCCUUUGAUCUCUGCAACCGGAGAGACUGAGGUCUGCAGCGUAGACUCUUCGGGGUUAGAUACAUUUGUGCUAAGCUAUAGCUUUUUAUAGACAACUUGUUGACUAUAUUUAGUCUUGUGGCUUACUCGCUUAUGCUAUUUUACCUACGCUUAGGAUGUUGAAGAUGUAGCACAUCAU
rnacentral:rRNA from 1 species